rnacentral:lncRNA from 1 species
CUUUGGCUUAACAAAACACAGUUUUUCCUUAGAAAAGUCAAUUGUUUCUUGAUUUAUACAUUUCGGCUUUGGCUUUAGGUAUAUGAUUAUGAUGACUGGUGGAGUGAAAUUUUUUACCCCGUUAAUUUUCUUGAUCUUAUUUUGCACAUUAGCUACAGUUUCAUUGGCUUCCCUAAAAGUUGGUUACUAUCAUUAUAGCUGCCCUUCUGCAGAAGCAAUUGUAAAGAAAACAGUGCAGAAAGUUGUCUCAAGAAACCCUGGCAUAGCAGCAGGCCUAAUUAGAAUGCAUUUUCAUGAUUGCUUUGUUAGGGUAUGCCUUAGUUAUAUUUCGUUUUUACUUUAUUAUAUUGAAUUAAGGAUCAGAGAUCAGUGUAUCUAUCUCACUAGCUGAUCAUUACAUGACGGAAUAUUUUAAGGUACCUGCCAUGUCUUUUUGCCGCCAUAGAAAGACUAAUUUGGUGUAGCGUUUCUUGUUUUGUAGGGGUGUGAUGCUUCGAUCCUGCUUGAUUCAACACCAGGUAAUCCUGCAGAGAAGGAGAAUCCGGCAAAUAACCCGAGCUUGCGUGGAUAUGAAGUGAUUGAUGAGGCGAAGGCUGAACUUGAGGCCAUAUGCCCACAAACAGUCUCGUGCUCAGAUAUCAUAGCAUUCGCUGCUCGUGAUAGUGCUCAAGGCGUGGGUGGAAUAAAAUAUGCGGUGCCAUCAGGGCGUCGGGAUGGAAGAAUAUCCCUGGAAGACGAGGCAGGUCAGAACCUUCCUCCUCCUACAUUCAACGCCCAACAAAUCGAAGAAAAUUUUGCACGAAAAGGUCUUUCGUUACAAGACAUGGUGACUCUUUCGGGAGCACAUUCCAUUGGAGUUUCACAUUGUUCUUCCUUCUCGAAACGUCUGUACAAUUUCAGUUCAACCCAAGGACAAGAUCCUUCAUUGGAUCCUAUGUUUGCUAGAGCGUUGAAGAGAAAGUGUCCACCAAAUGCUGCAAAUGAUCAAACUGUGCCACUUGAUGUGCGGACACCAAACAGAUUGGACAAUAAAUACUAUAAAAAUUUGAAGAAUAAUCAUGGGGUGUUAACAUCUGAUCAGACUCUUGUGAAUAGCCCAUCAACGGCUGGGAUUGUGAGGGAAAAUGCCAAGAAUGAAAUGGCUUGGAAACAUAAGUUUGCAGCUGCAAUGGUGAAGAUGGGAUACAUAGAUGUCCUAACUGGAAACCAGGGAGAAAUCAGGAAGAAUUGUAGGGUGGUGAAUUAGAUCAUUAAGUUAGAUAGGGAUCAUCCCCUUAUUAUUUAAGCUUAACGUUCUUUAAUUGGUGAUUCAAUUGUAAUUAGAUUUGUUUUGGAAAUUGAUUUUAGGUAAUUGUAUUCACACAAACAAUUUUCAUUAGUUAAAUUACAUUUUAAUUUUAUUUAAGGUUCUUAAUCUUUA